AGUGAACGCUGGCGGUAGGCCUAACACAUGCAAGUCGAACGGCAGCACAGUAAGAGCUUGCUCUUACGGGUGGCGAGUGGCGGACGGGUGAGGAAUACAUCGGAAUCUACUUUUUCGGGGGGGAUAACGUAGGGAAACUUACGCUAAUACCGCAUACGACCUACGGGUGAAAGCAGGGGAUCUUCGGACCUUGCGCGGUUGAAUGAGCCGAUGUCGGAUUAGCUGGUUGGGGGGGUAAAGGCCCACCAAGGCGACGAUCCGUAGCUGGUCGGAGUGGAUGAUAAGCCACCCUGGAACUGAGACACGCUCAAGAGUACUACGGGAGGCAGCAGUGGGGAAUAGUGGACAACGGGGGCAAGCAUGAUACAGUGAUCCCGAGUGUGUGAAGACGGCCUUCGGGUCGUAAAGACCUUUUGUUGGUAAAGAAAAGCAGCCGGUUAAUACCCAGCUGUUCUGACGGUAACCAAAGAAUAAGCACCGGCUAACUUCGUG
rnacentral:rRNA from 1 species